GAUGAAGAACGUAGCGAAAUGCGAUAAGUAAUGUGAAUUGCAGAAUUCAGUGAAUCAUCGAAUCUUUGAACGCACAUUGCGCCCAUUAGUAUUCUAGUGGGCAUGCCUGUUCGAGCGUCAUUAAGUCCACUUAAGCCCUGCUUAGUGUUGGGAGACUGCUCCAGCGGUGCUACCCUGUAGCUACCCUGCAGCUCCUCAAAGACAGCGGCGGAGUUGUCGUAUCCUCUGAGCUUAGUAACUUGUUCUAGCUUUCGAGUACACCACUUCCCCUGCCGUAAAACCCUUAAUUUUUAAUGGUUGACCUCGGAUCAGGUAGGAAUACCCGCUGAACUUAAGCAUAUCAAUAAGCGGAGGA
rnacentral:misc_RNA from 1 species